UGGGGAAUUUUUCGCAAUGGGGGAAACCCUGACGAAGCAACGCCGCGUGGGGGAUGAAGGUCCUCGGAUUGUAAACCCCUGUCGACUGGGACGAAAGCUAUUGGACUUAAUACGCCCGAUAGUCGACUGUACCGGUGGAGGAAGCCACGGCUAACUCUGUGCCAGCAGCCGCGGUAAUACAGAGGUGGCAAGCGUUGUUCGGAAUUACUGGGCGUAAAGGGCGCGUAGGCGGCCCUGUAAGUCCCGCGUGAAAGCCCUCGGCUCAACCGAGGAACUGCGCGGGAGACUGCAAGGCUUGAGUUCGGGAGAGGGAAGUGGAAUUCCGGGUGUAGCGGUGAAAUGCGCAGAUAUCCGGAGGAACACCGGUGGCGAAGGCGGCUUCCUGGACCGACACUGACGCUGAGGCGCGAAAGCUAGGGGAGCAAACGGG
rnacentral:rRNA from 1 species